rnacentral:lncRNA from 1 species
UGCUCUUACACUGCCUGUUUAGUUACACUUCUGCUCUCAGAGGACUGUGUUUUGACUCUCCAAUUUCCAUUGGAAAUAAGCGAGUGUAGCUGAAAGGAGCAUGUCAUAGGAGUACAUGAAAUAACGUCAGCUGUAUCAGCCAUAUGCCAGACACACCACCAGGUAACAGCACAUACUCCUACAGAGUCUGAAUUCCAUCUAAAUUCCAUCUAAACACAGGCAUCAGGGUCAGUGGGUUCUCAGCAGAACUGAACUCUUUGAAGAGAGAACCAUGAGUGUGGAGCACAGAGACUGACACGCCAGAGACGGCCGUGAAUUUCAUCAGAAGGAUAAUGAAUUCAUGAAAUCACACUAGGGUCCCAUCUGAGCCUAACUGCUGAGACUGACAUCAACAGCAGAACCCAGAAGUCCUUGCCAAGUUUUUCUCUGAUGACAUAUUUUUAAAACCUGCAUAAU